UACGUAGGGGGCUAGCGUUGUCCGGAAUCAUUGGGCGUAAAGCGCGCGUAGGCGGCCCGGUAAGUCCGCUCUGAAAGUCCAGGGCUCAACCCUGGAAAGCGGGUGGAUACUGCCGGGCUAGAAUCCGGAAGAGGCGAGUGGAAUUCCUGGUGUAGCGGUGAAAUGCGUAGAUAUCAGGAGGAACACCGGUGGCGAAGGCGGCUUUCUGGACAGUAACCGACGCUGAGGCGCGAAAGCUAGGGGAGCAAACAGG
rnacentral:rRNA from 1 species